ACCCAGCAGCCCUUCGCGUCCUGGGAAACCCAGGGCCUGGCACUGCGGAGGCGUCCCAGAAACACCCUCGGAAGAAAUUGUUAUGGAAUCCGUGACGAGCUCCCGUGUCUCUUGCGCUGGCUCUCCGGAUCUUUCCCGCUGUCCGUGAUGAUCUCGUCCUCUCUCCGGUUUCUGUCUCAGGCUCUCUGUUUUCCCCCUCUCCUGCCUCCCUGCUCUCCUCCCGACUUUUCCUCCCCUUCUUCCUUCCCUCUCCUUUUCCCCACCCUGUCUUGGAAAGGGGAAGCGCUGCCGAGUUGGGGACAAGGACCCGACCAGGCCACAUCACUAAGGGGGCGGGGGGUGCGAAGCUGGGCAGAGGCACCGAACGAGGAGAUUUUCGUUCCUUAUUGAAGGAAAUAACAGGGGAUUUUGUUGGAGAAAGUUCCCCGCAAGGACGCGGGUUCACUUGGAUAAACAUUGCCUGGGCCUGCGCUCUGCGGCGACAGAGCAAACGCUGGAGGCUACGAAGAAGAUGGGAACCAAGAGCAAAUUGAACUCAGUCCCAGGGCCUUGUACCCAUAGCCGGGAAAUGAAUCGCACCCGUCCAGCCGCAGACCUCCUCCUCCUACACCCACCGCGAAGCUGGGCAGUGAACGCGAACUGGUUCCGCUGGGCAGAUGAAGAAACAGACUACAGAGGAUCAAUAACUUGAGUUUGGUGACUGUCUGGGUUGCGCUGGGACAGCCCAGUAGUCCUGGCCUGGCCCUGGUUCCACUUUCAUCUCGCCUCCACCAGUGUAAAAAUGCAAGUUUUCAUCACAAUAGAACAUGGAGAAGAGUCAGCUCAUGCCCCAUGAGGUUUGAAAAAAAGGUUUGAAAAAACUCUCUCACAGGAGAAUUAGAAUUCUUGCCUCUCAGGGUGGGCUUCCCAUGCUGGGCCUUAUCUUGGAAGAAGAUUCCUCCUGCAGAGACACUGACUGCCAGGAAAGGAAACCCAGAUGCUUUGAACUUGGAGCCUGCCCCAUAAUGGGCUAAACUCUUGGGUGGGAAGGACUAUAAAUUGAAAGUUUCCAGUGUGACUCUGUAUUACAAUAUGUGUAAACUUGGAGCAAAUAUCUCUUUCUUCUGGGAAGACCACUUCAAUGGGUGUCUUAUAAAUGCAAAGAUAAACCACUUCAGUGGAUGCUUCAUUUUUUUGCAAAGAUAA